AACAAGGCCUUAAUUUGACAGCUGGUAGUAGCUAGCUACUCCUACUUGCAUGUUUUUGUAGAAGCUUCUGAUACAGAAUAGGAUUGAACUUGUCAAAAACUAGAAAUACUUGCGCCAGUAGAGAAGCAGUUACCUGGAGUAGCUACCUACUACUGCAACUGCAAGCAUCAGAAUCGUACCGGGUACCCCCUCUCCUGAUUCAGGCACAGAGAGGGCCGGGAGCAGGGGCGUAUGGCAGGGAAAAGUACGGUUGCCCGCGCGCGCUCACGCAUGCCAAGAUUUUUGAGCGCUUCCCAAACAUCUAUGCGCUCUCGACAUGACUAGCUAGCAUACACCAAACUCUUGUUUGGAUCUAUCUGCUCAAGGUGAGGAGAGGCUAGCUGCUGCUGCUGUACAUUUACCAAUUACCACAGUGCAAAGCAUGUAUGCAUGGGUCGGUCUCCCGAUCUAUCAAUCAUCACUUGAAAGGAUCCAUCACGUGACCAGCACGUAAAUUUUGCGUUUUUUUUUGCUAGAUCUCGAUCUUAGCUCCAAUGCACAAUUUCCUCAAACAAAACAAAACAAAUGGAAACAAAAAAAAAAAGACUCCAACCGCAAUUCAAUCCCUGCGUUUUUAAUCGAUCUUCAGAUGUUUUUUUUUCUCCUCUCUCCAAAAGACAAGCAGGCUUGGAUUUUUCUGGCCUUCAUAGUGAGCGAAGUAAUAACGAAAUUAAAAUACAUGUAUUAAUUGUAAUUCAGGUCGCAGAAAAACUAGUACUAGUGCUAGCUUUGAGUGCACAACAAUCUACUGCUAUUUUGACACAUUUGUUGGGAAAAAAAAGGUCUAUUCAAAAUUUCACUUGCAAAACGAUUAUGUGGCAGAACCUCCUGAAUUAAGUGGCCCACAUGCACCCAUCAUUGUCCCAAAGACUUCUGAUCGACGUGCACGAGUUCCAAAUGACUCAAGAAGUCUGUCGGGUGUCCUCGGGAAACCCGAAUCAUCCACGUAACGAUCUUUUCAGGAAUUCCCUCAUCAAGCAUCACAGUAUUACAACAUUUCAUAGAUAAGAGAAAUCAGAGUAAAAGCGGAAAGGUUACAUAACAUAGAUUGAAACUUAAGUUCAUAGUUUACAAACCAUAAGUAUUUGAUACAUAAAAGCUUCGGAACUUUAUAUUACAUAAACCAUAUAUCACACAACAAGUUUUACUUGCCCAAAGUCACUC
rnacentral:lncRNA from 1 species